AGUGAACGCUGGCGGUAGGCCUAACACAUGCAAGUCGAACGGCAGCACAGUAAGAGCUUGCUCUUACGGGUGGCGAGUGGCGGACGGGUGAGGAAUACAUCGGAAUCUACUUUUUCGUGGGGGAUAACGUAGGGAAACUUACGCUAAUACCGCAUACAACCUACGGGUGAAAGCAGGGGAUCUUCGGACCUUGCGCGAUUGAAUGAGCCGAUGUCGGAUUAGCUAGUUGGCGGGGUAAAGGCCCACCAAGGCGACGAUCCGUAGCUGGUCUGAGAGGAUGAUCAGCCACACUGGAACUGAGACACGGUCCAGACUCCUACGGGAGGCAGCAGUGGGGAAUAUUGGACAAUGGGCGCAAGCCUGAUCCAGCCAUACCGCGUGGGUGAAGAAGGCCUUCGGGUUGUAAAGCCCUUUUGUUGGGAAAGAAAAGCAGCAGGUUAAUACCCCGCUGCUCUGACGGUACCCAAAGAAUAAGCACCGGCUAACUUCGUG
rnacentral:rRNA from 1 species